rnacentral:rRNA from 1 species
GACAGAGGGUGCAAACGUUGUUCGGAUUGACUGGGCGUAAAGGGCGUGUAGGCGGUUGGUCAAGUCUGAUGUGAAAGCCCGGGGCUCAGCUCCGGAAGGGCAUCGGAAACUAGCCAGCUGGAGCGCGAUAGAGGAGGGCGGAAUUCCUGGUGUAGCGGUGAAAUGCGUAGAUAUCAGGAGGAACACCGGCGGCGAAGGCGGCCCUCUGGAUCGUUGCUGACGCUGAGACGCGAAAGCGUGGGGAGCAAACAGG